UACAGAGGUCUCAAGCGUUGUUCGGAUUCAUUGGGCGUAAAGGGUGCGUAGGCGGCGCGGUAAGUCGGGUGUGAAAUCUCGGAGCUUAACUCCGAAACUGCAUUCGAUACUGCCUUGCUAGAGGACUGGAAGGGAGACUGGAAUUCUCGGUGUAGCGGUGAAAUGCGUAGAUAUCGAGAGGAACACCUGUGGCGAAGGCGGGUCUCUGGACAGUUCCUGACGCUGAGGCACGAAAGCCAGGGGGAGCAAACGGG
rnacentral:rRNA from 1 species